CCGAGUGGCGCGAAAUUCCUGUCGUGAGACGGGGAAGCUACCCGACCUUUUGUCAUUUUGUCAAGUCUGGCUGGCGGGAUUGCAUUCGUGAGAAAGCGAAUGUGGAUUUCGGCAGACGGACCAAAACUUCGGCGGAAGAGGUAGGCGUGGACCUGCCCGCCGCCGGCCGUAUAAGACAAUACACAUUCUUGAGAGCAAACUGAAGUCUAAGACGAUCCUUGAAAAAGGAAUACCAAAAAAAAGCA
rnacentral:misc_RNA from 2 species